rnacentral:misc_RNA from 1 species
AUAACUUUAUCAGUGUUAUGGGUCGCUUUAAUUAGAAUAUAUAGAGAAAAACAAUAGAGCAAUCGUAAGACUCUCAACCCCACCUUGUAGUGCUUCUUCCAAAUGGCUAAAGAUAAAAAAAGCCAUAACCAGUUU